rnacentral:rRNA from 1 species
AUCAGCCUUUUGGGUGUGAUUUUGUGGAGCGUGAAGAGUUAAACGCCUUCAUGCCUGCAUAUUCGUGCACUUUGGGUGUACUUGCCCGUAUGGUUGGUUAACAUCAAUUUCGGUGGUCAUAAAAUGACUGGAGGAAUGUAGCUUCGAUCUUGUAUUGAAGUGUUAUAGCCUUCGGUAGAUGUGAUGAUCGAGAUUGAGGAUUGCAACGGAUACCCUUCGGGGCUACCUGUCUGGUCUCUGAUCGUUGCUCUGGUGCCGAAAGCUUGCUUACGGUUAUCAAAGUCGAUGGUCAAUAGGUUAGAACAGGUUAAAUUUGUUAAGGAUGUUGACGUAAUGGCUUU